CGGUGGAGCAUGUGGUUUAAUUCGACGCAACGCGAAGAACCUUACCUGGAUUUGACAUCCCGGGAAUCUUUCUGAAAGGAUUGAGUGCCCUUCGGGGAGCCCGGUGACAGGUGCUGCAUGGCUGUCGUCAGCUCGUGUCGCGAGAUGUUGGGUUAAGUCCCGCAACGAGCGCAACCCUUAUCUUUAGUUACCAUCAUUAAGUUGGGGACUCUAAAGAUACUGCCCCGGUUAACGGGGAGGAAGGUGGGGAUGACGUCAAGUCCUCAUGGCCUUUAUGUCCAGGGCUACACACGUGCUACAAUGGGUUGUACAAAGGGUUGCGAACUCGCGAGAGUAAGCCAAUCCCAAAAAGCAACUCUUAGUUCGGAUUGGAGUCUGCAACUCGACUCCAUGAAGCUGGAAUCGCUAGUAAUCGUGGAUCAGCAUGCCACGGUGAAUACGUUCCCGGGCCUU
rnacentral:rRNA from 1 species